rnacentral:siRNA from 1 species
GGGAAAAUAGAGGCUGAUGUU